CGCGCGCUCCCCUGUCCCACAACUCCCUUGGUGAGGGGAGGCCCAGGGUCGUUAAACUACAAGUCCCAGCAUGCAGCGCGAGCCGCUCUCCUCAACCCAGUCACGUGCCGAGGCCCGUCUUGGAGACUGCGAGUCCCGGCAUGCAACGCGGAUAUCCGGGAGCUGCGGGCCCAGCAUGCCGUUCGCUAUCCGAGCCAUCCUGGGCCCCGACCAGAAAGUGCAGCCCCAAGCCGUGUGACCCCAGCCCUGGGCGUGACCCGAGGCCCGGAUGUGACCCCAGACCCGGCCCAGGGCAUCUCCCUCAUCGUCUCUCUCCGUCGGGAGCCAGUGCGCACGGUGCCCUGUUUGCGUCCGGGAGCUCCAAGCCUGGAGAACACGGUGGACACCUCAGUCUCGGGCUGCGCAGACCUGUCCUCUGGGUUUCAGCGUUUGUCCCCGGGACCUGCUGCUCCGAGGCCGUGCAGAUGCGGGGCGUCCUGUUCCGACCCAGCUCUUCAGGUGCAGAUUUGGGAUAUGAGACUUCCUUAAAUGAAGUCUCCCGGAGCAGUGAGAACCGACUUUGCUCACAACUCGCGUCACCACGGGCAUUUCUCCUCCGAAAGCAACAGCCAGACCGGAACCCACCGUCGGCGCGUAGGGUGACGGAUCGCAGGGCCUCGCGGCUCCUGUUCCGCCUGCUUAUGAUUUUAGUACAAGCUGCCGUUGGGACUCUUCAUUUGUAUUAUACUGUACCGCCAGAGGAAAUCGCAUCUACAAAAGUCAACUUACAGUUAUUUUCCAGGAUUGUGGAAAAAUAUUCCGACAUAUCUCCAGAUGACUUGCAUUCCAGACAAGUCCUGUCAGCUGCGCCGUCAUCGAAAAACCUCCCUGGCGGCUGGAGCGGAGGACACGGUCUCUGUCGCGCUGACUGCAUCGGUCCCGUAAGAUUUUCCACAUCACGCAGACGCAGUGCCGACCGCUGUCACCGCCACCACGAUGUCUCCAUUAUGCAUUGUUGUUGUUCUGAAAUUCAAACCUAA
rnacentral:lncRNA from 1 species